rnacentral:rRNA from 1 species
UACGGGGGGGGCAAGCGUUGUUCGGAAUUACUGGGCGUAAAGGGCUCGUAGGCGGCCAACUAAGUCGGAUGUGAAAUCCCCAGGCUUAACCUGGGAACUGCAUCCGAUACUGGAUGGCUUGAAUCCGGGAGAGGGAUGCAGAAUUCCAGGUGUAGCGGUGAAAUGCGUAGAUAUCGGGAGGAACACCAGUGGCGAAGGCGGCGAUCUGGGAAGAUACUGACGCUGAGGUGCGAAAGCGUGGGGAGCAAACAGG